UGAGGAAUUUUGGGCAAUGGGCGAAAGCCUGACCCAGCGACGCCGCGUGGGUGAUGAAGGCCUUCGGGUCGUAAAACCCUGUGAGCCGAGAAGAAGCCGCAGUCCGCUAAUAUCGGGCGGCGGUGACAGUAUCGGCAGAGGAAGCCCCGGCCAACUACGUGCCAGCAGCCGCGGUAAUACGUAGGGGGCAAGCGUUGUUCGGAAUUACUGGGCGUAAAGCGCGUGUAGGCGGUCCGAUAAGUCGGAAGUGAAAGCCCUCGGCUCAACCGGGGAAUUGCUUACGAUACUGCCGGACUUGAGUGUGGGAGGGGAGAGCAGAAUUCCCGGUGUAGCGGUGAAAUGCGUAGAUAUCGGGAGGAAUACCGGUGGCGAAGGCGGCUCUCUGGACCAUUACUGACGCUGAGACGCGAAAGCGUGGGGAUCAAACAGG
rnacentral:rRNA from 1 species